rnacentral:rRNA from 1 species
AACGAACGCUGGCGGCAUGCCUAACACAUGCAAGUCGAACGAGACCUUCGGGUCUAGUGGCGCACGGGUGCGUAACGCGUGGGAACCUGCCCUUAGGUUCGGAAUAACUCCCCGAAAGGGGUGCUAAUACCGGAUAAUGUCUUCGGACCAAAGAUUUAUCGCCUUUGGAUGGGCCCGCGUUGGAUUAGCUAGUUGGUAGGGUAAAAGCCUACCAAGGCGACGAUCCACAGCUGGUAUGAGAGGAUGAUCAGCCACACUGGGACUGAGAAACGGCCCAGACUCCUACGGGAGGGAGCAGUGGGGAAUAUUGGAACAUGGGCGAAGGCAUGAUGCAGCAAUGCCGGGUGAGUGAUGAAGGCCUUAGGGUUGUAAAGCUCUUUUACCCGGGAUGAUAAUGACAGUACCGGGAGAAUAAGCUCCGGCUAACUCCGUG